rnacentral:rRNA from 1 species
GUCUUUUUGAGUUAUUUUUAAAGUCUGACCUGCCCACUGAAUUUUUUUAAAUGGCCGCAGUAUUCUAACUGUGCAAAGGUAGCAUAAUCAUUAGUCUUUUAAUUGAAGGCUGGUAUGAACGGUUGGACGAGGUAUAAGCUGUUUCAUGUAAAUUUAUAGUAGAAUUUUAUAUUUUAGUCAAAAAGCUAAAAUGUAAUUAAAAGACGAGAAGACCCUAUAAAUCUUUAUAUUUUAUGUAAUUUAAAUUUUUUUGAUUUUUUUUAUUUUUAUUAUAUCAAAUAUUUUGUUGGGGUGAUAUUAAAAUUUGAUGAACUUUUAAUUGUUUUAAGUCAUUAAUUUAUGAAUUAUUGAUCCAUUAGUAGUGAUUAUAAGAUUAAGUUACUUUAGGGAUAACAGCGUAAUUUUUUUGGAGAGUUCUUAUCGAUAAAAAAGUUUGCGACCUCGAUGUUGGAUUAAGAUAUAGAUUUAG